rnacentral:rRNA from 1 species
GACGAACGCUGGCGGCGUGCCUAAUACAUGCAAGUCGAGCGGACGGAUGGGAGCUUGCUCCCAGACCGUCAGCGGCGGACGGGUGAGUAACACGUGGGCAACCUGCCUGUAAGACUGGGAUAACUCCGGGAAACCGGGGCUAAUACCGGAUAACUCUUUCCCUCACAUGAGGGAAAGCUGAAAGAUGGCAUCUCGCUAUCACUUACAGAUGGGCCCGCGGCGCAUUAGCUAGUUGGUGAGGUAACGGCUCACCAAGGCGACGAUGCGUAGCCGACCUGAGAGGGUGAUCGGCCACACUGGGACUGAGACACGGCCCAGACUCCUACGGGAGGCAGCAGUAGGGAAUCUUCCGCAAAGGACGAAAGUCUGACGGAGCAACGCCGCGUGAGUGAUGAAGGUGUUCGGAUCGUAAAACUCUGUUGUCAGGGAAGAACAAGUACCGGAGUAACUGCCGGUAGCUUGACGGUACCUGACCAGAAAGCCACGGCUAACUACGUG